UACGUAGGGGGCAAGCGUUGUCCGGAUUUAUUGGGCGUAAAGAGCGUGUAGGCGGCCAUGCAGGUCCGUUGUGAAAACUCGAGGCUCAACCUCGAGACGCCGGUGGAAACCGUAUGGCUAGAGUCCGGAAGAGGAGAGUGGAAUUCCUGGUGUAGCGGUGAGAUGCGCAGAUAUCAGGAGGAACACCAAUGGCGAAGGCAGCACUCUGGGACGUGACUGACGCUGAGACGCGAAAGCGUGGGGAGCAAACAGG
rnacentral:rRNA from 1 species